UGGGGAAUAUUGCACAAUGGAGGUAACUCUGAUGCAGCGACGCCGCGUGAACGAAGAAGGCUUUCGAGUCGUAAAGUUCUUUUAUAUGGGAAGAUAAUGACGGUACCAUAAGAAGAAGCCCCGGCUAACUACGUGCCAGCAGCCGCGGUAAUACGUAGGGGGCUAGCGUUGACCGGAAUCACUGGGCGUAAAGGGUUCGCAGGCGGAAAUGCAAGUCAGGUGUAAAAGGCAGUAGCUUAACUACUGUAAGCAUUUGAAACUGCAUAUCUUGAGAAGAGUAGAGGUAAGUGGAAUUUUUAGUGUAGCGGUGAAAUGCGUAGAUAUUAAAAAGAAUACCGGUGGCGAAGGCGACUUACUGGGCUCAUUCUGACGCUGAGGAACGAAAGCGUGGGUAGCAAACAGG
rnacentral:rRNA from 1 species